GGUUUUAUGGGGUAGUGGUUAGCCCAUGAGAUUCUGAGUGUUAAGCAUUCAAUAUUCUCGUGACCCCGGUUCGAAUCCGGGUAAGACCU
rfam:Sphaerobolus stellatus SS14 unplaced genomic scaffold SPHSTscaffold_32, whole genome shotgun sequence.